CGAUUCAAUAGCCUAGCAAUAGGUCUUAAAACCACACCUUACUUAAAACAGGUUUAUAAACAAUAGGGUCAUUUCAGCCACAGUUUGAUAAAGUAACAUUGAACAUGCAUAUUCUGUGAUCCAGCAAGUCAUCUACAAGGUAUACAUCUUACAGAAUCAUUCAAAUACGUACACAAGAAACAUGUAAUGAUGCUCAGUGAACUAACAUUCAUAAUACGAAACAACUGGAAAUAAGGACAUAACAGCAAAG
rnacentral:lncRNA from 10 species